GUGCAGAUGAUGGAAAAGUUUUUUUGCUGACAAAAGUGAUGUUAACAAAGGAACCGCUGAUGCAC